UACGUAGGGCGCAAGCGUUAUCCGGAAUUAUUGGGCGUAAAGAGCUCGUAGGCGGUUUGUCGCGUCUGCCGUGAAAGUCCGGGGCUCAACUCCGGAUCUGCGGUGGGUACGGGCAGACUAGAGUGUGGUGGGGGAGACUGGAAUUCCUGGUGUAGCGGUGAAAUGCGCAGAUAUCAGGAGGAACACCGAUGGCGAAGGCAGGUCUCUGGGCCAUAACUGACGCUGAGAAGCGAAAGCAUGGGGAGCGAACAGG
rnacentral:rRNA from 1 species